UACGUAGGGGGCUAGCGUUGUCCGGAUUUAUUGGGCGUAAAGAGCGUGUAGGCGGCCGGGUAAGUCCGGCGUGAAAACUCGAGGCUUAACCUCGAGAUGUCAUCGGAAACUAUUCGGCUAGAGUCCGGAAGAGGAGAGUGGAAUUCCUGGUGUAGCGGUGAAAUGCGCAGAUAUCAGGAAGAACACCUAUGGCGAAAGCAGCUCUCUGGGACGGUACUGACGCUGAGACGCGAAAGCGUGGGGAGCGAACAGG
rnacentral:rRNA from 1 species